UUUUUUUGCCUCUCCAAUGGGUGAGAAAGGAUUUAUUGUAGCUCCAGAAGGAUGGAGGCUGAGUGGAGGGGCGUGUGCCCGGUGCUCCCGCUGCAUCCCGGCAACCAUCAUCCACGUCCCCGAGCACCUUUUAAAUACUCUAAAGCAGCAGAAGCCCUUCGCCAACACCCCCAAGGGGUAUUUUUCCAGCUGCUGGGGUUUGACUUCAGCAGUGUCACAGGAGCUGAGGCUUGGGACACGUGUCCACCCUUCCCGGGAUGAGCGGGAUGCGGAACAGGGCAGGGAACGCUCAUGGAGACGCCGUGAUGCUGACGUGAACCGGGGGAUCAUCCGCUGCUGUUGGGUCUGGCUCUGGAGGUUACCUGCUGCUGCACCCGGGGCUGACGCGUCUCCCGGUGCUGCUCCAUCCUCCAGGGCUGUUUCAGCAUCCUCCGGUGUGCCCGCGGGCUCCUGGUCACCGGGCCCGGCCCUAGAGGGCACUCACAUGGGAGGGUGUCCCGGUGGCGGGCGAUGCAGCGCACGGCCAGGAGCGACGCCGCGGUGGCCACCAGCAUCCCCACCACCGCUGCCCCCGUCACCGCCGGGUAGGCUUCGAAGGGAGGCUCGGCUGGCGUCUGCACCUCGGAGGGGUGCCCGGCCGUGCGGUGGUUGACGGCCAGGAUGCGGAAGGCAUAAACCACGGCCGGGUCCAGCCCCCCGAGGCGCCGGUCGCGCGAGUGGGGCUCGAUGUCACCGGCGGCCGUUUCCCAGGGCCCGGCCGCCCGCCGGGGGGGUCUCUUGGUUUGGCGCCGCUGCACCACGAAGCCGGUGAGGUUGCCGGUGCCCUGCGUCCGCCACUCCAGCCGCACCUCGGUGCGCGCCCGCGUGUACCGCAGCCUGCUGAUGGUGACGUUGGGGGGGGCCGGGGCUCACGUUCCACGCGGAGCUGGACGGGGAGGCUGGCGGUGCCCACGGCGUUGGCUGCGGCGCAGCGGUAGGUCCCGCUGUCCCCCGGCCACUCCGCAUCACGGAUGGUGAGGUUGAGCCACGCUUCUCCCCGCUCCAAGUGGUACUUGGCCAACCCCGCUGGCAACUCCUGCUCCUUGGGGUCGUACCAAGCCAUGGUGGCACCCAGGUUGGCGCCGGGGCCGCCUCGCCGGCACGCCAAGCGCGCCUCGCCGCCCUCCAGCACCGCCACCUCGCUCCUCGCCACCUCCAGCUCGGGGGCCUCUGCUCGGCGCAGGCGGCACUCGGUGCCGGUGGCCUGGAGCGGAUGGGUGGCCGCACAGAUGUAAUCCUGCCCCCCCAGGCUGCUGCUGGUGCUCAGCACCACGACGGUGGCGGAGGGUGCGGGGUCACCCAGCGCCUGCCCAGCGCCAUCCCACCAGCGCAGGGUGACGGGGGGGGUCCCCCCGUCCCACCGGCACCGCAGCAUCACAUACUCGUCCCCCUUGGUGGCCACUGCCGCGCAGGAGGGGCCGCCAGCCGGGAUCCCUGCGGGAAGGAGAGGGUGGUCCCGCAGGCAGCCCCCUGCGGCAGCGCGGGGUGGGAGGCCAGGCAGGAGAAGGCGCUGCCGUUCCUGGUGGCCCCCCCUGGCUGGAUUCUGGUGGCCAUGGAAAAAGAGGUCCCCGUCACCCCCCGCUCUUCCUCCUCAUCCUCCUCCUCGGGGCCCACCCAGCGCAGCCGUGCCGGGGGGAACCCCC
ensembl:lncRNA